UUAGCUCAUAUUUGUAUGGAAUGGGAUCGUUUGCCUAUGUUUGCCGCUAGAGGUGCUGUUCCAACUGCAUACAAAAUUGGGCA
rnacentral:pre_miRNA from 1 species